rnacentral:rRNA from 1 species
UACGGAGGUGGCAAGCGUUGCUCGGAAUCACUGGGCGUAAAGGGCGCGUAGGCGGGGAGGUAAGUCGGGUGUGAAAUCCCUCGGCCCAACCGAGGAACUGCGCCCGAGACUGCUUCUCUUGAGUCCCGGAGAGGAAGAUGGAAUUCCCGGUGUAGCGGUGAAAUGCGUAGAUAUCUGGAGGAACACCGGUGGCGAAGGCGGCAUCCUGGACCGGUAUUGACGCUGAGGCGCGAAAGCCAGGGGAGCAAACGGG